rnacentral:rRNA from 1 species
AUUGAACGCUGGCGGCAGGCCUAACACAUGCAAGUCGAGCGGAUGAAGGCAGCUUGCUCCUGGAUUCAGCGGCGGACGGGUGAGUAAUGCCUAGGAAUCUGCCUGGUAGUGGGGGAUAACGUCCGGAAACGGGCGCUAAUACCGCAUACGUCCUGAGGGAGAAAGUGGGGGAUCUUCGGACCUCACGCUAUCAGAUGAGCCUAGGUCGGAUUAGCUAGUUGGUGGGGUAAAGGCCUACCAAGGCGACGAUUCGUAACUGGUCUGAGAGGAUGAUCAGUCACACUGGAACUGAGACACGGUCCAGACUCCUACGGGAGGCAGCAGUGGGGAAUAUUGGACAAUGGGCGAAAGCCUGAUCCAGCCAUGCCGAGUGUGUGAAGAAGGUCUUCGGAUUGUAAAGCACUUUAAGUUGGGAGGAAGGGCAGUAAGUUAAUACCUUGCUGUUUUGACGUUACCAACAGAAUAAGCACGGGCUAACUUCGUG